rnacentral:tRNA from 1 species
GUAUACCCCGGCCUGAACCGGCCUCCGGAGCCGUGUGCGCAGGUUCGAAUCCUGCCGGGG